GACGAACCGUGCGAACGUUGUUCGGAAUCACUGGGCUUAAAGGGCGCGUAGGCGGGCAUUCAAGUCGGUGGUGAAAUCCUCCAGCUUAACUGGAGAAGAGCUGUCGAUACUGGAUGUCUCGAGGGGUGCAGGGGUCUGCGGAGCUUCGGGUGGAGCGGUGAAAUGCGUAGAGAUCCGAAGGAACACCGGUGGCGAAGGCGGUUGCCUGGGGCUUUGCUGACGCUGAGGCGCGAAAGCGUGGGGAGCGAUCCGG
rnacentral:rRNA from 1 species